UUUGGGUUUGUUAUUAUUUGCUAAGGAGGGUAUGGCUGGGACUUUGGGCGCAACUCGCUUUUACGCAUGUGCCAGGCAUGGGGCGAGAGCGCGGCACACUCGCACACACGCAGCCGGGCGCGGACGGCGGCUGGGGAUCCGCUCGCACCGGCUGCCGCUGCGGCUCCUCGGUUUUCUUCCUGGCAGAGGGAGCCGAGCGGGUGCCGGCCGAGGCGGCGGGAGCCUGGGUCGGGGCUCCGCGGGCCUGCCUCCCCUCUUGAUGGAAAUGUGGAGUGCGCUUCCUCUCCUGCCCCCAAGAGGGACCUGGCUGGAAAAUAAAAGAGUCCUCACCUCCUGGAAAAAAGAACGGGGCGGGUGACGCGUUGUGGUGAAUUGCUUCCAAAGUGAGGUGGAGCCCCUGAACGUCCAAGAAGGGGAGGGCGAAGCUGUGGUGCGGGGACUCCUUACCUGGACGCCCGCCUGGCACAGGCGUCCCGCAUACAGCAACUUCCUAGCGAUCGCUGGCCGACAGGGAUCGCCUUUGUGCUUUCCAACACUUAGGCUGUCGUGGAAAUGAUUUUCCAGUGUCAACACGUUUUCACCGUCACUGUGCUUCGGGGGCCGGCUGGGUCGGAGCGGACUAAGUUAGCAAAGUUACGAUGGGGCGGUCGGCUUUGUACGUGGAGAAUCGCACGCGGGAACUGUCCGAGACCCUCUUGGCUCUGGCUUCCUGGCUAAGAGGGACUCCGCAGUAGGCAGAAGUAAUUUGAUUCAAAUAUUGUACAAAUAUUGUACUACCGUUUAGACCGUAGUACUGACUGCCUUCAAGCAAAUCUUUGCUCACCCCUUCCCGUGGUGUGUGUGUGUGUGUGUGUGUGUGUGUGUGUGUGUGUGUGUGUGUGUGUGUGUGUGUGGUGUUUGCCCUUGGUGGCACUCAGGGAGACACAAUAGUUUAGCAUACUCAUUCUUUAAGAAACGUUUGCCUUCUGUUUUCAAUCAACUAAGCUGGCAGCCUGAGAUACAAGUUUAUUUGAGAAUACCCUCUGGGUACCAAGCAUGCUUGGAUUGUUUUAGCAAAUUAAAAAUGAGCAAAAUGCUUUUACCUUCUCAGCAGUAGACUCCUUAAGAGACCUCCUGUUUCGUGUGUUAUGUGUGUGCGUUCCGGGGGAAGCAUUUUCUGUGUGUAUCUCAAAUGUUUUUAAUGUGGGAAAGAAGAAAAUAAAGGAUUUUUAAAGGCUGA